rnacentral:rRNA from 1 species
UACGGAGGAUCCAAGCGUUAUCCGGAAUCAUUGGGUUUAAAGGGUCCGUAGGCGGGCCUGUAAGUCAGUGGUGAAAUCCGGUAUCUCAACUAUCGAACGGCCAUUGAUACUGUAGAACUUGAAUUAUUGUGAAGUAACUAGAAUAUGUAGUGUAGCGGUGAAAUGCUUAGAUAUUACAUGGAAUACCAAUUGCGAAGGCAGGUUACUAACAAUACAUUGACGCUGAUGGACGAAAGCGUGGGGAGCGAACAGG